GUAUCUUUGAUUAUAGGAGUAUAAUACAUGAAUAAAGGUUUUCAGGAGAAAUGGAGAGUAUUUAGAAAGCCAUGGGAGAGAAACUUAGAAUAUUAUUUCAGAGAAAGCUUGUGCCAAAUCUAGCUACAACUGAAGAGAGAGUCUCCUUAUAUAGACUUGGAGAUUAUAAGCUUUACAGGUAACCAGUUAGCAAUUAGCUACCGACACUCUAAAGUAAAAGAUUCU
rnacentral:misc_RNA from 1 species